rnacentral:rRNA from 1 species
AUGGCCGCUCUAUCCAUGUCUGUCCGUAUUCCCAUCUUCCUGUUAGUUAUACUCACGGCCGUAUCCGCUUCUUCUCCUAGUUCGACCAAUGGCAAUGGUAGUGACACCGAUCUCGCCGCGCUGCUCGCUUUCAAAGCCCAGCUCACUGACCCUCACAACAUCCUUGCCCGCAACUGGACCAUCAACACCUCUUUCUGCCACUGGAUUGGCGUCUCGUGUAGCCGGCGUAGACAACGUGUCACUGCUCUAGCAUUGGGGGAUACACCUCUCGUUGGAUCUGUGGCACCUCAAGUUGGUAACCUCUCUUUCCUCUCCAUCCUUAACCUCACCCGCACUAAUCUUACAGGCUCCAUUCCAGCCGAACUUGGUAGGCUACAUCGUCUUAAGUAUCUCGAUCUUAGAAGAAAUAGCCUAUCAGACGCCAUACCUGCUACCCUUGGAAACCUCACAAGGCUCGUGUCCCUUCGUCUAGGUUACAACCAACUCUCGGGCCAGAUCCCUCCCGAGAUGCUGCUUCACAUGCAAAGCCUUGGGGAAAUUCAUCUGUUCGGAAAUUACUUGAGUGGCGAAAUACCACCGUCUUUGUUCAACAACACGCCUUCCAUGACGUUCAUCAACUUUGGAAAUAACAACCUGUCAGGUCCUAUACCACAAACCAUUGCAUCUCUAUCCAUUCUUUGGGUCUUGAAUCUAGAGUUAAAUCAACUCUCAGGCCUAGUGCCGCAAGCCAUGUACAACAUGUCUAGGUUGCAAGCGUUUUCACUAUUGAGCAACAGUAAUCUAUAUGGAACUAUUCCCAGCAAUCAAAGUUUUAUUCUCCCAAAGUUGAAGUUUCUUAAUCUAUACAAUAACAAAUUUACUGGUCGGAUUCCAUCCGGGCUUGCAUCUUGCAAGCACCUACAAAUACUUACUUUGUCGAGAAAUUAUUUUGUGGAUGUUGUACCAACAUGGUUAGCCAGAUUGCCACACCUCAAAGAACUUUCCUUGGGUUUUAACAAUCUUACUGGCUCAAUCCCAACUGGUCUAAGCAAUCUUACUGGUCUUACUUCACUAGAGAUGUCCUACAGCAACCUCAAAGGGGAGAUUCCAUCGGAAUUAGGUCUACUGCAGGAACUCUCAUAUUUGUAUCUUGGACUCAAUCAGUUGACAGGUAAAAUCCCAACUUCCCUUGGUAAUUUAUCCAAAUUGUCAUUCCUAGCUUUGAAUUACAAUCAACUGUCCGGCCAAGUACCAACAACACUUGGAAAUGGUGCAGCUUUGAACUAUCUUGAUUUGUCGCAAAACAAUUUAGAGGGGAAUCUAGACUUCUUGUCAGCUCUUUCCAAGUGCCAACAACUCCAAAGUCUUGGUAUAAACGACAAUUAUUUCACGGGCGUCCUCUCUGGCCAUGUGGGAAACCUCAGCUCACAAUUACAAACUUUAGCUGCAGGUUACAACAAGUUAACAGGCGGCCUUCCCGUAGAAAUUUCAAACAUAAGCAGUCUCGAAUCAAUAGAUCUUUCUAGCAACCAAUUCACCGGGCCCAUCCCAGAAUCCAUCGCUAUGUUAGAAAAUCUUGUGUGGCUUAGUCUCCCCAACAAUGAAAUGUUAGGUCCUAUGCCAACACAAAUGGGUAUGCUUCAGAGUCUAGAACGGUUGUUUCUCCAAUCAAACAAAUUAUCAGGCUCUAUACCAAGCAGCUUUGGUAAUCUCAGUUCGUUAGAACGCAUCGACUUGUCUAGUAACCAGGUAACUUCAGAGAUACCAUCAAGCCUUUUCCAGCUAGAUAAGCUUAUCCAACUAGAUAUUUCUCGCAAUUCCUUUGCGGGUGCACUACCAGUCGAUGUUUCUGGUCUAAGUCAAACUUAUCAAUUAGACUUUUCUUCCAACUUAUUGAUAGGGAGCAUCCCAAAAUCAUUUGGAGAACUUAUUAUGCUGACAUACCUCAAUCUAUCACAUAACUCCUUUAGAGACUCAAUUCCUGACCAAUUGGAAAAUUUAACAAGCUUAGAUUCGCUAGACCUCUCAUCUAACAAUAUCUCAGGUACCAUUCCCAUGUUCUUUGUGUUGGGGCUGGACAGCAACAAUGUGCUGCACAAAUUCAUCGGCACGGCAAAUAUGCACACUACACAGCCCCCUCUACUUGUGAUGAACUUUGAGGACAGUUUCAACCAACAAGUAAGCAGCGAAUAA